UAGUAAAGUCAGCUAAAC
rnacentral:tRNA from 5 species